GCUGGGCGUGGUGGCGGGCGCCUGUAAUCUCAGCUACUCAGGAGGCUGAGGCAGGAGAAUUGCUUGAACCCGGGAGGCGGAGGUUGCAGUGAGCCGAAAUGGCACCACUGCACUCUAGCCUGGGCGACAGAGCAAGACUCUGUCUCAA
rnacentral:SRP_RNA from 1 species